rnacentral:rRNA from 1 species
CGGACGGGUGAGUAAUGUCUGGGAAACUGCCCGAUGGAGGGGGAUAACUACUGGAAACGGUAGCUAAUACCGCAUAACGUCGCAAGACCAAAGAGGGGGACCUUAGGGCCUCUUGCCAUCGGAUGUGCCCAGAUGGGAUUAGCUAGUAGGUGGGGUAAUGGCUCACCUAGGCGACGAUCCCUAGCUGGUCUGAGAGGAUGACCAGCCACACUGGGACUGAGACACGGUCCAG